rnacentral:misc_RNA from 1 species
UGAAAUAAGUCAAGGGCAUUAAAUAUGAAAAAAUUGUGUUGCCAAGCAUGUAACCUUCCAGUUUGAAGGAACUAAUGAUGGGCAUUAAACUUUCAAAGAUCGAGGAAGAGAUCUUUUGAGCCUCAAUGUCAGGGGUGGAUCUUCAUCUGUUUAUCUUCCCUGCCGUCCCCUACCUUCCUGCUUCGGGGGUGACUUCAUAUUUGACAAAGGUGGACAUUUCUCGUAUGACCACCGGCGAUGUUAAGCUUUUAAUGCCAAACCUUAUAUUUUUAGUUGAUCCAUAAAUUUCUUUUUAUGCAGAG